AUACGGAGGAUGCGAGCGUUAUCCGGAUUUAUUGGGUUUAAAGGGUGCGUAGGCGGAGCAUCAAGUCAGCGGUGAAAGUUCGUGGCUCAACCAUGAAAUUGCCGUUGAAACUGUUGUUCUUGAGUGUAGAUGAGGUGGGUGGAAUUCGUGGUGUAGCGGUGAAAUGCUUAGAUAUCACGAAGAACUCCAAUUGCGUAGGCAGCUCACUGGGCUACAACUGACGCUGAGGCACGAAGGUGCGGGGAUC
rnacentral:rRNA from 1 species